UACGUAGGGUGCAAGCGUUGUCCGGAAUUAUUGGGCGUAAAGAGCUCGUAGGCGGUCUGUCGCGUCGGCUGUGAAAACCCGGGGCUCAACCCCGGGCCUGCAGUCGAUACGGGCAGACUAGAGUGUGGUAGGGGAGACUGGAAUUCCUGGUGUAGCGGUGAAAUGCGCAGAUAUCAGGAGGAACACCGGUGGCGAAGGCGGCUCUCUAGUACGGUACUGACGCUGAGACGCGAAAGCGUGGGGAGCGAACAGG
rnacentral:rRNA from 1 species